CAGCAGCCGCGGUAAUACGAAGGGGGCUAGCGUUGUUCGGAAUUACUGGGCGUAAAGCGCACGUAGGCGGAUAUUUAAGUCAGGGGUGAAAUCCCAGAGCUCAACUCUGGAACUGCCUUUGAUACUGGGUAUCUUGAGUAUGGAAGAGGUUAGUGGAAUUGCGAGUGUAGAGGUGAAAUUCGUAGAUAUUCGCAGGAACACCAGUGGCGAAGGCGGCUAACUGGUCCAUAACUGACGCUGAGGUGCGAAAGCGUGGGGAGCAAACAGGAUUAGAGACCCCGGUAGUCCCUGUCUCUUAUAC
rnacentral:rRNA from 1 species